rnacentral:rRNA from 1 species
GACGAACGCUGGCGGCGUGCUUAACACAUGCAAGUCGAGCGAGGCCCCUCCUUCGGGAGGGUGUCCUAGCGGCGAACGGGUGAGUAACACGUGGGCAACCUGCCCUCAGCUCUGGGAUAACUCCGGGAAACCGGGGCUAAUACCGGAUACGACCUCCACGGGCAUCUGCGGAGGUGGAAAGUUUUUCGGCUGAGGAUGGGCCCGCGGCCUAUCAGCUAGUUGGUGGGGUAGUGGCCCACCAAGGCGACGACGGGUAGCCGGCCUGAGAGGGCGACCGGCCACACUGGGACUGAGACACGGCCCAGACUCCUACGGGAGGCAGCAGUGGGGAAUAUUGCGCAAUGGGCGAAAGCCUGACGCAACGACGCCGCGUGAGGGACGAAGGCCUUCGGGUUGUAAACCUCUUUCAGCAGGGACGAAGCGAAAGUGACGGUACCUGCAGAAGAAGCACCGGCCAACUACGUG